rnacentral:rRNA from 1 species
AAGCGGAGGAAAAGAAACCAACAGGGAUUGCCCCAGUAACGGCGAGUGAAGCGGCAGGAGCUCAAAUUUGAAAUCUGGGGUCCCCGACCUCCGAGUUGUAAUUUGGAGAGGCAUCUUCGGGGGGGAGCGCCGGCCCAUGUUCCUUGGAACAGGACGUCGCAGAGGGUGAGAAUCCCGUGCCAGGCCGGCUGCCUCCUCCCGGGUGAAGGGCCUUCGACGAGUCGAGUUGUUUGGGAAUGCAGCUCCAAGUGGGUGGUAAAUUUCAUCUAAAGCUAAAUACCGGCGGGAGACCGAUAGCGCACAAGUAGAGUGAUCGAAAGAUGAAAAGCACUUUGAAAAUAGAGUCAAAAAGUACGUGAAAUUGUUGAAAGGGAAGCGCUUGAGACCAGACUCAGGCCCGGGCAAACAUCGAGCCCCCCGGGGCCGUGCAAUUGCCUGGGGCUGGGCCAGCAUCAGUUGGCGUGGCGGGACAAAGGCGCGGGGAAUGUGGCUCCCCUCGGGGAGUGUUAUCAGGCCCGCGCUCAAUGCCGCCGACGCCGACUGAGGACCGCGCCUCGGCUAGGAUGCUGGCUUAAUGGCCUUCAGCGACCCGUCUUGAAACACGGACCAAGGAGUCUAACAUCUAUGCGAGUGUUUGGGCGCCAAACCCUUGCGCGGAAUGAAAGUGAGCGGAGGUGGGAACCCCCCAGCGGGGCGCACCAUCGACCGAUCCUGAUGUCUUCGGAUGGAUUUGAGUAGGAGCAUAGCUGUUGGGACCCGAAAGAUGGUGAACUAUGCCUGAAUAGGGUGAAGCCAGAGGAAACUCUGGUGGAGGCUCGCAGCGGUUCUGAC